CGGCAGCAUGUGACCUCCAGAAGGAGAAAGAGGAGCGUCCAUGUACCAGCAAUGGAGAUACAGAUGAACAGCAAACAGGAAACCCAGCAAACAUCUUCCCAUGCGAUAUUCAUAGCCUGGUGCGAGGCUCCAGCGAGUGCUGAUCGUACAGACGGUUUGGUGAGUGUGUUACGAAGAGAGAUAAGGCCAAAGCAAGAUCUGAGGGGCACUGCCUUUCAUAAAGAACCCCUUCUACACUCAGCACGAAUGCCUGGUGCAGUUAACAGCUUUUCUUGUAUGCCCUCAGACCAGUCACUCUGGGCCUGAUGCGUCAAUGCGGUGAGUUUGGGGAGGAUGCACUGCGUUUCUCACACAUAACAGAUAGGCUGAACUCCUGCCUUAAGUGCAAAACUCAGCCCAGCCUUAACUAGGGAGCUGCAGCUGGUGCCGCUGUCCGUUAUUUCGGUAGGGCUGCCUUAGCCCUCUCUGCCAGCACUGGGAAUUCACUACCAAACAGCCAGAGGGGAGACAUGCAGAGCCCUUGACGAUGGGGCGGAGGGGAGGCCCAGCUCUGCUCAGCACUAAGCACUACUUCCUCUGCUUGAUUUGUAAAGUACUGAACUGUGUUCCCUGCCUA